GGCGAUCAGAUACCGCCCUAGUUCUGACCGUAAACGAUGCCAACUAGCGAUCCGCCAGUCGACUCAUCGCUCUGGUGGGGAGCUUCCCGGAAACGAAAGUCUUCCGGUUCCGGGGGAAGUAUGGUUGCAAAGCUGAAACUUAAAGGAGUUGACGGAAGGGCACCACCAGGAGUGGAGCCUGCGGCUUAAUUUGACUCAACACGGGGAAACUCACCCGGCCCGGACACCGUAAGGAUUGACAGAUUGAUAGCUUUUUCAUGAUUCGGUGGAUGGUGGUGCAUGGCCGUUCUUAGUUCGUGGAGCGAUUUGUCUGGUUUAUUCCGAUAACGAGCGAGACUCUGGCCUACUAAAUAGUUGACGCAUUGCCACUGUGCGCACAACUUCUUAGAGGGAUUUUCGGUGUUUUCAACCGCACGAAAUUGAGCAAUAACAGGUCUGUGAUGCCCUUAGAUGUCCGGGGCUGCACGCGCGCUACACUGGCAAACGCAACGUGCCUGUCCUGCCCCGAAAGGAGCGGGUAAACCCCUGAAAUUUUGCCAUGAUUGGGAUCGGACAUUGCAACUAUUGUCCGUGAACGAGGAAUUCCUUGUAGGGGCGAGUCAUCAACUCGUCCCGAAUACGUCCCUGCCCUUGUA
rnacentral:rRNA from 1 species